GACGAACGCUGGCGGCGUGCUUAACACAUGCAAGUCGAACGAUGAAGCCGGAGCUUGCUCUGGUGAAUUAGUGGCGAACGGGUGAGUAACACGUGAGUAACCUGCCCUUGACUCUGGGAUAACUGCGGGAAACUGUAGCUAAUACCGGAUACGACCCUCGGAGGCAUCUCCUGGGGGUGGAAAGAAUUUCGGUCAAGGAUGGACUCGCGGCCUAUCAGCUAGUUGGUGAGGUAAAGGCUCAACAAGGCGACGACGGGUAGCCGGCCUGAGAGGGUGACCGGCCACACUGGGACUGAGGCACGGCCCAGACUCCUACGGGAGGCAGCAGUGGGGAAUAUUGCACAAUGGGCGCAAGCCUGAUGCAGCAACGCCGCGUGAGGGACGACGGCCUUCGGGUUGUAAACCUCUUUCAGCAGGGAAGAAGCGAAAGUGACGGUACCUGCAGAAAAAGUACCGGCUAACUACGUGCCAGCCGCCGCGGUAA
rnacentral:rRNA from 1 species